AUCCUGGCUCAGGAUGAACGCUGGCGGUCUGCUUAACACAUGCAAGUCGAACGCAACCUUCGGGUUGAGUGGCGGACGGGUGAGUAACGCGUGAGAAUCUGCCUUGGGGUCGGGGACAACCACUGGAAACGGUGGCUAAUACCGGAUAAGCCUUUGGGUAAAAGAUUUAUUGCCCCAAGAGGAGCUCGCGUCUGAUUAGCUAGUUGGUGAGGUAAAAGCUCACCAAGGCAGCGAUCAGUAGCUGGUCUGAGAGGACGAUCAGCCACACUGGGACUGAGACACGGCCCAGACUCCUACGGGAGGCAGCAGUGGGGAAUUUUCCGCAAUGGGCGAAAGCCUGACGGAGCAAGACCGCGUGAGGGAGGAAGGCUCUUGGGUUGUAAACCUCUUUUCUCAGGGAAGAAGCUCUGACGGUACCUGAGGAAUCAGCCUCGGCUAACUCCGUGCCAGCAGCCGCGGUAAUACGGAGGAGGCAAGCGUUAUCCGGAAUUAUUGGGCGUAAAGCGUCCGCAGGUGGCGAUUCAAGUCUGCUGUCAAAGCACGGGGCUUAACUCCGUUAAGGCAGUGGAAACUGAAUAGCUAGAGUGCCGUAGGGGUAGAGGGAAUUCCCGGUGUAGCGGUGAAAUGCGUAGAGAUCGGGAAGAACAUCGGUGGCGAAAGCGCUCUACUGGACGGCAACUUGACACUCAGGGACGAAAGCUAGGGGAGCGAAUGGGAUUAGAUACCCCAGUAGUCCUAGCUGUAAACGAUGGAUACUAGGUGUAGCUUGUAUCGACCCGAGCUGUGCCGAAGCUAACGCGUUAAGUAUCCCGGCUGGGGA
rnacentral:rRNA from 1 species